rnacentral:lncRNA from 1 species
CAAAGUAACCGAACUUGGAGAAACUGGCUUCUUCUGAAAGUUAUUUUUCCAGUUAGCUUUUCAUUUUAUUUGCAGUGCCAGGCUGGAAACCAUGCACACAUUAGACUUAGCUGUAUUUCCGGCCCUAAUUACCUGUUGCUCUGCAUCAAUUUACAAAUUAGCGGUGGGAAACAAGCAUCAUUUAAUGAAGCCCACAGACUCUGUGGGUCAGCACUUCACAGGGUCUAGAAGGAAAGGCUUCUUCAGCUUCAUGGUGUCUGAGCUUCAGUGGGGAGACAGGGGGGUGGAGGACACUAAAAGGGCUAGGAGUGACUCAACAGGCUCAGCUCGAAGAUCCAAGGCCUGAAGCACCAUGACUCAAGUUUGUACUAAGAUCUGUCAACACGGUGUCUACGCACAGCCUGCCCAUCCGUGAGCCUUGAGUUCCUCUGCAGUGUGGCUGGGUUCACUCUUCCAGAGAGUGAUCAUAUCAGGACUCUGAGUGCAAAUGUCACUUCAGGUGUGUUCCAAGUAGCUAAGGACCUCAAAUUCAGGAAAAGACAGUUCAGAGGGAAGAGAGAAGCUGAGGCGUAAAAGACCAAUUUGAAAACUAUAAUGCCAGACAUGGUGCAUGCCUUUGACCCCAGCACUUGAGAGGCAGAGGCAUGGGAUCUCUGCGAGUUUGAGGCCAGUCUCUUUGUUCUACAUAGGGAGUUCCAGGAGAGCCAGGCCUACAUAGUGAGACCUUGUCUGGAAAAAAAAGAAAAAAAAGUCUAGUACAUUUCCGUCACACUGGCCCAGGGGGCAGGAGAGGCCAUGCUGGUGUGAUUAAAAAUGAGACCACUUUACUGAGCUUGAAGGAGCAAGUUAUUCCAUGCUGGCCAUAGUGGUUUCCACUGGGAUAUAAUUCACAUAAAAUCCACCCAUGUGUAGUUCAGUGGGUUUUAGUACAUUCACAGUUGUAUGACCAUGAUUACGAAUUCCAGACACACAUAACUCACAUGUGUUAGAAGUAACUCUUCCAUGUCACCUUCCACUGCCCUCGGAUUCUGCUGGCCCAAUUUCUCUCUGUGGAUUGGUCAUUUAUAAGAAGGAUUUAUUUGUCUUUUGUUACUAGCUUCUUUCACUUAACAUAGUAUUUUCAAGUUUCACUGAUAGAAUACAGUGCAUGUGUGCGUGUGUGUGUGUGGUAGUGUAUGGUGUGUAUGUGUGUGGUAUAGGGUAUGUACACACUCAUGAGUGCAUGUAACUAUACAUACUGAAGUACAAUGUCCUUCUCAGUCACCCUCCAUCUUAUUCUUUGAGAUGUGGUUUUUUUCACUGAAUUUGAGUUUACUGGUAGAGAUAGACUGGCUGGCCAGCAAGUUCUGUUGAUCAGCAUCUCUCUGCUGCCCCUAACCCUGAACUGUACUGCAGGAACAUGCUGCUAUGCCUGAUUUAUCACAUGGGCGCUGGGAGCCUGACCUCUGGCCUUCAUCCUUACAUGACAAGCACAUUUGACUGAGCCAUCUCCCUAGUCCCUAUUCCAUUCCUUUUAUCGAUUGAAUAAUAUUCCAUUGUCUGUCUCUACCUGGCACAUUUCAUUUACCCAUUUAAUAGUUGACGGACAUUUCAGUAAUUCCUGGUUUGGGGCUGUUUUAUGUAAUGAUGUUGUGAAUAUUGUGGUUUGUUUGUUUGUUUUCAUGAAAUACAUUUGCAAUCUCUAGGGAAAUAUAGCUAACGAUGGGACUGCUGGUGAUGAACGCCCAA